AACUUUUUCCAAGUUUCUCUUUCACGGGUUGAAUCGAGUGGCUCAGAUAUAAGAGGUCGAGUAAUGUUGAGGAAGUAGUGUGCAGAUGGUGAAUCAGGUUGGUCGAGUAUACCAUAGGUGAGCCAAAAUUGGCAGGGACGAAACCUCAAAUCGACGAUCGAGUACAGUGGAUGUAAUCGAGUAGCUCUUGAGACGACGACGGUAAACGAGGUGGAGACUCGACUUAGACGGGAAGUGACGGUUAACGGCGAAGUGAAGUGGUUGAGUGAUUCAAGGUGAAACGUAAUCGGUGGUCGAGUGGGACUUUGAACUCGACUGCGGCGGCUGUAAUUCUUUCCAGCUGCGGUCGAGUGGUUUCGGCGAGGUCGAGCGUGGCUUGGUUUCAGAGGUCAAGUUGAUUCUUGCGAUCGAGUGGUGGAAAACUGAAUAGAGGUUGGUCGAGUGAAAUUUCAAAAGCAGUGGUGGAGAUUGAGUUUGAGAUUCUCUCUCCAUCUUAUCCUCAGCGCGUGGUCCACACUCUGUUGAUUGGGAAAACUGCAGGAAAUCUACAGUAAACUUGAUUAACUCCCUGUAAGGCUCUGUAGCUUCUGUUGGUCGAGUAAUAUGAUGAUUUAAAAUUUUUUGGUUUUAAACAUCACUCAUACUCGACCAAUGUACUCGAGUGCAAGGUCUCCAUGUGCAACAGAAAAUUUACAAAAUUUUGCACUCCAACGGGCUAUACACUCGAUCUCCAGGUCUUUUGUAAAGUAAAAGUUUUGAAUUUUUACUCUAUCUCCACCUUGUUCCUUUGUUCCUGAGAACCACAAACACAACUAAGACAAAUCAAAAAUAACAACAAAAGAAAAAUUUAUUUACAGAGAUAGUCAUGGGACCUUCCUCCCAAGUGAGCUUGUUUAAAGUCUCUAGCUUGACUGCUCACACUUAUCAAGAAGAAAAUGAAUGAUAGAGAGGGUCUGCAUAGUCCUCUCGGAUAUCAUCAUCAUACUCAGCGUCCUCCCUGGAGAGGUCUGCAGCAGAACACUCAAUUCCCCUUUCUUCAAAACAGGCUUCUUUCUCUUCUAGAGGGUAAUCUAUCUCUUCAGACCAUCUUGAAGUGAACCUUUUUCUCGGGAUAAUGUCAAUUCCGCCUUUAGGUUGAGCUUUCUUCUGCAUCUGAUUCAGCUUACUCUUAAGCUCCUCAAUAGUGUGGGCUAGCUUCCCUAUAGUUUCAUCUUGCUUAUCAGACCUCUUUUUAAGCUCCCUUACUUUUUCAGUCUCAUACGCUUCUCUUGGGAUCACUCUAUCGUCUCCAGAGGGUUUUUCAUAUUCUUUUGACUCUUCUGGAGUUUUGUUGAUGUCAAAUUGCAACUUGAUGUGCUUUCCAAGGUUGAGACUUAUUUUUUCUUCCCUGACAUCUAUCACUGCUCCCACUGAGGCUAAGAAGGGUCUUCCCAGGAUUAAGGGAUCCUUAUGCUCUUCUUCCAUAUCCAGCACCACGAAGUUUGUAGGCACUUCCACUCCAUUAAUCAUGACUGGUAGAUCUUUCAACAUGUCGGAGGGUUUUCUUGAAGACCUAUCUGCAAGGAUCAAAGUCAGGUCACAAGGCCUGUACUAAAUAAAUUCCAACCUUCUUGCCACAGAGAGUGACAUUAAGGUGACAGAGGCUCCGAGAUCGCACAGGCAAUCGCUGAAAGCUAAUUCCCCAAUUGAACAUGGUAGAGUAGAAUAUCCAGGAUCUUCUAACUUUUCUUGAACAAUCCUCUUAUCAGCAACUCGAGAUGGAGUAGCGUCACUAUCAUCAUCUGAAUCGUGAUACAUCUUAAUCCUUUCCAGUAUCAGAUUUCUCACAUCUUUGUGAGGAUCAGGAAUCAGGUUGAGAACUUCCAUCAGUGGCAUCACUGUUUCAUUCUCGUCUAGCUGUUUCGCUGCAACAGACUUGUAUCUCUCCAUCCAUGCUUUCCUGAAUUUCAUGGAAGAGCAUGUGAGGGUAAUGGAGUAGGUUUGAAUCGUUUUACCAUUCUCUCGAUUAUGGCUGCUUUCUCUUCCGAGGUGGAUUAAAUGAGAUGGUGAGAACCAGCAGAAUGGUUGAAUUCUACAACAGAGACCUCAAUCUUGGUUGAAGGCUCCCCUUCUUGAACAUCACUGUCCCCAGUGAUUAAGUCAGGGACAGGUCGAGUUGGCUGCUCUCGAUCCUGGCAGAUAGUGAUGGCGUGAGCAGUUGCAUACUCCUUUGGAUUUUGUAUUGACUUCCCAGGAAGUCCUGUAACUUUAGGACCAGAGGUAGAUGUUGAUUGUCCUUCCAAGUAUCUGACUUUGGUAUUCAAUGUCUCCACUUUGGCAUUCAGGUCAUUGUAGCUAUAGUCCAGCUUAUGGUGCAAUUCAAAUAACUUCUUAGCAAUUUUCAUGGAGCUAGAUGCUUGUCCCUGUAGCAGCUGUUGUACCAUCUGUUUCAUUUCGGGAUCAGGAGCUGCAAGACCUUGGUUUUGCUGAGGUGCAAACCCAGGUGGUGGUUGCGGCUGGUAGUUCCCCUGAAAUUGUUGGGAACAAAUCCUUGAUUGUAAGGAACAAAAGGUUUGUUCUGACCUUGUUGUUGAUGUGGAGGAUACACCUGAUCCUGAGGAUUCGCAACGUUGGUGCUCCGGUAGGAGAGGUUGGGGUUGUUGGUUUUGAAGUUGUUAUACCCUUUGUAGCCACCCUGGUUGUUGUUGAUGUAGCUGACCUCUUCCAACUGGUUACCCUCCCCAUCUUGGACUUGAUACUGCUCGUCAUCAACAAGGAAGUGCACAUGCUUCUACUGGCUAAGAAGAAUCCUUUCCAGCUUGUCGUUCAGCGCUUUGAUCUCCUUCUUGUGUUUGUCAUCAGAGUCAGCUGUGCUUCUGAUGGUCCUAUCGUAGUCCUCAUUGUAAUUACCAUCUAAUUGAGCUAGGUUCUCAACCAAUUCCCAGCCUUCUUCAACAUCCUUGUUCUGGAAAUUCCCAUUGUUGGCGGUAUCCAGAAGCAUUCUGAUGCGUGGUAAAACGCCUAUCUAUGGAGUGCUUAGCAGAGAGGCUUUCGUGAAGCAAUGAUGAGGGCAUUGGUUGAUGUAACCUCUGAAACGCUCCCAUGCUUCAUAGAAGCUUUCACCCGUCUUCUGUGAAAAAUCAGAAAUCUUAUUUCUGAGUUUUGCAGUUCUGGCGUUGGAGAAGAACUUUGAUAGAAAGUCCUGUGGAGUAAACAAUAAAAUCAAUCAGAUAAAGAAUUCCCGAGGAUGGGGUAAUUGAGUAGUUUCGUUUCCUCAGUUAACAGGUGACUGACAUGCUCAAUAAAUUAUCCCUAGACAACAAGUUCAUUAACCAAAUCUAAGUGCCACCGCAACAAAGACCCUCAAGUUAACCUAGUCCCAGACUCAAUCACCAUUGACGAGAGCUAACCUAACAGGCAUUACGAAUCAACAAGUUAAAGCCAAAACGCUCCCUACAACCAAUACCUUGGUACAGAGCCACAAAUCUCUGGAAUUAGUGGUUCAGACAUUUCAUCGAACACCUUUUGGGCGCAGAAAUGUCUGGGCUCAAAUUCUAGUUGAUU
rnacentral:sRNA from 1 species